rfam:Picea glauca, whole genome shotgun sequence.
ACAUGCCUACAACAUAACAUUAAUUCACCCGUUCCUAUUAGAACUCCGCAAUUAAGUGAGCUCGGGCUAGAGUAGUACUGGGAUGGGUGACUACCCGAGAAGUCCUAGUGUUUUACAUGCC